CAGCAGUGGGGAAUUUUGGACAAUGGGCGCAAGCCUGAUUCUUUCCUAGGAGAUGACCGCGUGAGUGAAGAAGGCCUUCGGGUUGUAAACCACUUUUGUCAGGGAAGAAAUGGGCCUGGUUAAUACCUUUUUGUUAGUACGUACCUGCAGAAAAGCACCGGGCAAACCUCCUAACUCCUGUG
rnacentral:rRNA from 1 species